GAGUUUGAUCGUGGCUCAGAUUGAACGCUGGCGGCAUGCCUUACACAUGCAAGUCGAACGGCAGCACGGGAGCUUGCUCCUGGUGGCGAGUGGCGAACGGGUGAGUAAUGCAUCGGAACGUAUCCUGGAGUGGGGGAUAACGUAGCGAAAGUUACGCUAAUACCGCAUAUUCUGUGAGCAGGAAAGCGGGGGACCUUCGGGCCUCGCGCUCUUGGAGCGGCCGAUGUCGGAUUAGCUAGUUGGUGAGGUAAAGGACUCACCAAGGCGACGAUCCGUAGCAGGUCUGAGAGGAUGAUCUGCCACACUGGAACUGAGACACGGUCCAGACUCCUACGGGAGGCAGCAGUGGGGAAGUUUUGGACGAAUGGGGGCGAACCCUGAUCCAGCCAUGCCGCGUGAGUGAAGAAGGCCUCGG
rnacentral:rRNA from 1 species